rnacentral:rRNA from 1 species
ACUUUGAUCAUGGCUCGGGACGAACGCUGGCGGCGCGCCUAACACAUGCAAGUCGAGCGGGAAGCUUUUUAAGGAUUCUUCGGAUGAAUUAAAAAGUGGAGAGCGGCGGACGGGUGAGUAACGCGUGAGAAACCUGCCCUAUACAGGGGGAUAGCCAUUGGAAACGAUGAUUAAUACCCCAUAUGACCACAGUAUCGCAUGAUACAGCGGUGAAAACUCCGGUGGUAUAGGAUGGUCUCGCGUCUGAUUAGCUAGUUGGUGGGGUAACGGCCUACCAAGGCGACGAUCAGUAGCCGGCCUGAGAGGGUGACCGGCCACACUGGAACUGAGACACGGUCCAGACUCUUACGGGAGGCAGCAGUGGGGAAUAUUGCACAAUGGGCGAAAGCCUGAUGCAGCGACGCCGCGUGAACGAUGAAGGCUUUCGAGUCGUAAAGUUCUGUUCUUGGGGAAGAUAACGACGGUACCCAAGGAGAAAGCACCGGCUAAAUACGUGCCAGCAGCCGCGGUA